AUUCUGCAUUUUCUAUUUUCUAUUGGUGGCAGGUACCAAGACAAAAAAAUGAAUACGACUGUGGUCUCUUUGUUCUCUAUUUUAUGGAACGUUUCAUUAAAGACGCUCCUCAAAGGCUUAAGAGGAAAGACCUGUCUAUGUUUGGCAAGCAAUGGUUCAGACCUGAGAAUGCCUCUGAUUUGAGGGGAAAAAUUCGGACUAUACUCAAAAUAGAGUUCAGGAAUGCAAGUGAAGUAAGAGUUGACGAGUGCAAGUGAGGUCAAAUGUGCUUUGGAUCUUUAGCCUCUCCAAUCGAAAGGUUGUGGUAAAUUGGUUUUGACUACUAUAUGAAGACUGGAGCUGAUGACCCUUAUGUAAAGCCUCAAAGUUGUCACUCGGAUAUUUUGUUCAUCUGCACAAUUUUGAUUUGCAGAAUCAAUGGUGCAUUUGCUGUGUCAGGAGAUUUGAAAGUGAUCGUAUAUAUGUAGAAGACAAAUUUUUGCAGAUACUCAACAUGAAAUCUGGCAGAAAUUUGAAGAACAUGGGAAAAUAGAUACAUUUCUGCGAGGUAAGUACAUAGUAGAGAUCAGCUAACUAGCUUUGCCAUGUGUAUCCGGAGCAUUUUAGGUUAAACUUCAACAGGUGCAUGUUUGGUAGACUGAAUUGGACAAAACUGGAUAGGAUCCUAUCCAGAAAUAAAACUUUGUUGAAUUCACUUGUUUUGUCCAACACUCUGUAAUAUUUUGCACCACACACACUAGCUUUAGAGGAGGGGGUACAAAGUGAAAGCACCACACCCCCACCAUUUUGAAUUGUUCCUGUGAUGGAAGUCUUCUAGUUUUCUAUUUAAAUGAAAAUCAACUGUGAAUAAUUUAUCAAACAGGAUAAAUAGUUUUGGACAGACUUCUUGGAAUA